rnacentral:rRNA from 1 species
UCAAGUUAUUAAGGGUGCAGGGCGGAUGCCUUGGCACUAGGAGCCGAUGAAGGACGUGAUAAGCUGCGAUAAGCUUCGGGGAGUUGCACGUAAACUUUGAUCCGAAGAUUUCCGAAUGAGGAAACUCACUUAGAGUAAUGUCUAAGUAUCAUUAAGUGAAUACAUAGCUUAAUGAGGGGAACUCAGGGAACUGAAACAUCUAAGUACCUGAAGGAAGAGAAAGAAAUUCGAUUCCGUAAGUAGCGGCGAGCGAACGCGGAUUAGCCCAAACCAAUAAAGUUUUCUUUAUUGGGGUUGCGGACAUAUCAUAACGAAGAGGUAUCGUAAUUGAAGAGGUUUGGAAAGACCUACCACAGAAGGUAAUAGUCCUGUAUGUUAAACGAGAAGACUUUAGAUAUGAUCCAGAGUACCACGGGACACGUGAAACCCUGUGGGAAGCAGGAGGGACCACCCUCCAAGGCUAAAUACUACCUAGUGACCGAUAGCGUAUAGUACCGUGAGGGAAAGGUGAAAAGAACCCCGGGAGGGGAGUGAAAUAGAACCUGAAACCCUGCACUUACAAGCUGUGGAAGCACAUUUCUUGUGUGACCGCGUACUUUUUGUAGAACGGGCCAACGAGUUACGUUAAGUAGCAAGGUUAAGCACUUAAGGUGCGGAGCCGUAGCGAAAGCGAGUUUUAACUGAGCGUUCAGUUACUUGACGUAGACCCGAAACCGGGCGACCUACCCAUGAGCAGGAUGAAGCGAAAGUAAAAUUUCGUGGAGGUCCGAACCCACGAGCGUUGAAAAGCUCGGGGAUGACUUGUGGGUAGCGGUGAAAUUCCAAUCGAGCCCGGAGAUAGCUGGUUCUCCCCGAAAUAGCUUUAGGGCUAGCCUCAAGGUGAGAGAUACGGAGGUAGAGCACUGAAUGUCCUAGGGGGUAUUGCACCUACCGAAGACUAUCAAACUCCGAAUGCCGUCAUCUUAUACUUGGGAGUCAGACUGUGGGUGAUAAGAUUCAUAGUCGAAAGGGCAACAGCCCAGAUCGUCAGCUAAGGUCCCUAAAUGUAAGUUAAGUGGUAAAGGAUGUGGGAUUGCACAGACAACCAGGAUGUUGGCUUAGAAGCAGCCACUCAUUCAAAGAGUGCGUAAUAGCUCACUGGUCGAGUGAUCCUGCGCCGAAGAUUUCCGGGGCUAAAACUUACUACCGAAGCUACGGCAUCAGUAAUGAUGGGUAGGGGAGCUUCCCAUACGGGUUGAAGCAUGACCGUAAGGACAUGUGGACAGUAUGGGAGUGAGAAUGUUGGCAUGAGUAGCGAGAUGUGGGUGAGAAUCCCACAGGCCGUAAACCCAAGGUUUCCAGGGGAAGGUUCGUCCGCCCUGGGUUAGUCGGGACCUAAGCUGAGGCCGAAAGGCGUAGGUGAUGGACAACAGGUUGAUAUUCCUGUACUACCGAUAACCAUUUGAGAGAAGGGAUGACACAGUAGGAUAAGCUAAGCACACUGUUGGUUAUGUGUGCCCAAGCAUUGAGGCAGUCAAAGUAGGCAAAUCCGCUUUGAUAAUGCUGGGAUGUGAUGGGGAGCGAAAUUUAGUAGCGAAGUAGCUGAUUUCACACUGUCAAGAAAAGUCUCUAUCGAGGUUAAAGGUACCCGUACCGCAAACCGACACAGGUGGGUGAGGAGAGUAUCCUAAGGCCAGCGAGAGAACUGUUGUUAAGGAACUCGGCAAAAUGACCCCGUAACUUAGGGAUAAGGGGUGCCACCAUCAGGUGGCCGCAGAGAAUAGGCCCAAGCGACUGUUUACCAAAAACAUAGGUUUCUGCUAAGUCGCAAGACGAUGUAUAGGAGCUGACGCCUGCCCGGUGCUGGAAGGUUAAGGGGAUCUGUUAGAGCAAUCGAAGCAGUGAACUUAAGCCCCAGUAAACGGCGGCCGUAACUAUAACGGUCCUAAGGUAGCGAAAUUCCUUGUCGGGUAAGUUCCGACCCGCACGAAAGGCGUAACGAUUUGGGCACUGUCUCAACAACAGACUCGGUGAAAUUGUAAUUCCGGUGAAGAUGCCGGAUACCUGCGACAGGACGGAAAGACCCCAUGGAGCUUUACUGUAGCUUGACAUUGGGUCUUGGUACUACAUGUACAGGAUAGGUGGGAGGCUUUGAAACCAGGACGCCAGUUUUGGCGGAGCCAUCCUUGGGAUACCACCCUUGUAGUACUGGGACUCUAACCAUAGGCCAUGAAUCUGGUCUUGGGACACUGUCAGGUGGGCAGUUUGACUGGGGCGGUCGCCUCCCAAAAGGUAACGGAGGCGCUCAAAGGUUCUCUCAGUACGGUCGGAAAUCGUACGUAGAGUGUAAAGGCAAAAGAGAGCUUGAUUGCAAGACAUACAGGUCGAGCAAGGAUGAAAAUCGGACUUAGUGAUCCGGUGGUUCUGCGUGGAAGGGCCAUCGCUCAACGGAUAAAAGCUACCCUGGGGAUAACAGGCUUAUCUCCCCCAAGAGUCCACAUCGACGGGGAGGUUUGGCACCUCGAUGUCGGCUCAUCACAUCCUGGGGCUGUAGUAGGUCCCAAGGGUUGGGCUGUUCGCCCAUUAAAGUGGUACGCGAGCUGGGUUCAGAACGUCGUGAGACAGUUCGGUCCCUAUCCGUCGCAGGCGUAGGAAAUUUGAGAAGACCUGUCCUUAGUACGAGAGGACCGGGAUGGACGUACCUCUGGUGUACCAGUUGUCCUGCCAAGGGCAUGGCUGGGUAGCUAUGUACGGAAUGGAUAAGCGCUGAAAGCAUCUAAGCGCGAAGCCAACUUCAAGAUAAGAUUUCCCACCGCAAGGGUAAGACCCCAGAAAGACUAUCUGGUUGAUAGGUCGAAGGUGUAAGUGCAGCAAUGUAUUUAGCUUAUCGAUACUAAUAGGUCGAGGACUUGACCAA